GGUUGUAAUCAGAGAAGUGAUCUGUAGGAGCUUGGAUUUUGAGCUGAUCACUUUGACUGCCAGGUGACAAAAGUUUGGGAAAGAAAAGGACAGGCCAGUAAGAUCUUUCUGGUGAUCCUGAGCAGCGGCAGCUUCCUCAGCCUCAAGAUCACCAGGGAGACACCCGGGCGCAACAGUGCUCUACAUGCAGUGCUAAGCUGGGAGGUGCGGCAGAGGAAUCUAAAAGGAUAUAACAACUGAACUACAUGAAGAGAAUCAGUCCUGGGACUUUGAAU